UCUGGGAGGGCUAAGGCAUCAAGCUCACCCUGCAGGAAUCCCAGUGAAUAUAUUGCCACCAUCUUGGAGCUCAGUGCCCUCUUAGUGUAAUGGCACCAGCAGAUCUGCCUGUGCACGGACUUCCUGUACUACCUCACUCCUGAGGGGAGAUGCUUCUGCAGGGCCUAUGACCUGGUGCACAACUUUAGACACCAUCAUCCUGGAGCAGCACCUCACCCUCACUUGCCGGGGUGUUGAUGACUUCCUCAAGGCUAAGGCCACAUUCAAGAUUUUGGACUUCAGUGAUGCAUUUUUGCUGAGCAAGGUGGGCUUCUCCGGGAUUUUAGUUCAGGAGGUAGAAUGCAGCUUGAGAUCAAGUGUCUGAUCAAAUAACUUGAACUUGAUCUGGAGAGCUCUGGGGAGCCAUAGAAGUUGUUGGAUAAAGGAGGGACAGUCGUAUAUGUUUUAGAGAUGACUGUGGAAGGCUGCCUGGAAGGAGUGAACAAGAGCCAGGAGACCAGGGAGGGAGCUUGUGGGGCAGGUCUGGAGAUGACAAGGGAGGGAUCCUGCUUUGAUGAAAGGUCUUCAGGGAAUGUCUCAGGUUACACUCAGGUGUCCUCAGAGCUAGUGUGUUCAGGGGUCUUGCCUCCAGGAUGAAAAUGAGAAGGAGUUGUCAGACAAGAACAUAUAAAUGAAGGCUGGCAUCUUCGUGAGUGCCAAUCGUUGUCCUGGUGUGGACUACUGUGGGAAUAGGGGUCUCUCCAUCCAGGGACAUGGUGGAUGGACCCUACAUCACUCCAUUCUGCCCUUCCUUUCCCUCCCAUUCUGAGGGCCUCAGUGCAAGGGCGCUGUCCAACCUCUGGUGCUGAAGCAGCCGAGAGACCCAAGCCUGCCACUCAGGAUAUGACAGCACAGCCAGUGGCCUCUACUGGAUCCUGUACAACCUCAGAAGACACCUAGACACUGGGAGUGCUGCCACCACGUGGUGCAAGAGUUCUGAGGGACCGCAAUUCUGAAGACAUUGAAUGCUGCUUCCUGCUCCCUCCAUGGACCUGCACAGAAUUGUCCCAUGUUUCUGUUUGUUUGGGCACCACUGAGGAAGGAAGCAUGAAGGACGCAGAGCCAUUUUGCAAACCCUGGUCAGAAUGAAACAUUCCUUGGGAACUCGGGCCAUGAGAAGCAUCCUUCCUGACCACCUGACUGCGGAAACAUCCUUAUCGCAUCCUCCCGGGCGAAGGCCCAACAGCCUGACUGCAGGAACAUCCUUGCCAUAUCCUGCCGGGCAGCAAGCUCUACCGCCCAGACCCCUCCUUCCCAGUCCCAUGAUCGCCCCAGCCUGUGAGCGGCAGUUGGUGAUGGCACUAAGCUGAUUUCCUCCUCUGCAGGGUUUUGCUAGUAAUAAAGGUGUUGCUGUUGAAGCCACCAA
rnacentral:lncRNA from 1 species